UACAGAGGGUGCAAGCGUUGUUCGGAAUUAUUGGGCGUAAAGGGCGCGUAGGCGGUGCGGUAAGUCUGUAGCGAAAUCUCUGGGCUCAACUCAGAGUCUGCUGCAGAAACUGCCGUGCUUGAGUGUGGGAGGGGUGAGUGGAAUUCUCGGUGUAGCAGUGAAAUGCGUAGAUAUCGAGAGGAACACCAGUGGCGAAGGCGAGUCCCUGGACAACACCUGACACUGAGGCACGAAAGCUAGGGGAGCAAACAGG
rnacentral:rRNA from 1 species